rnacentral:rRNA from 1 species
UACGGGGGGAGCAAGCGUUGUUCGGAUUUACUGGGCGUAAAGGGCGCGUAGGCGGUCGUGACAAGUCACUUGUGAAAUCUCCGGGCUUAACUCGGAACGGUCAAGUGAUACUGUCGGACUAGAGUACAGAAGGGGCAACUGGAAUUCCACGUGUAGCGGUGAAAUGCGUAGAGAUGUGGAGGAACACCAAUGGCGAAGGCAGCCUUCUGGGCCAACACUGACACUCAUGCACGAAAGCGUGGGGAGCAAACAGG